CACCCCCACGUCAAUAGUCACUACAGUCCCAUUAGUUUUCUUUAUAGCCUCGUUUGAAUGUUGCGGUUGUGCACAUUUGUACGGAAUGGGGUGAUUUUAUGUUAGCUGUCAAUGAAAUAGCAAGGAAAGCUAGGAAGAGCAUAAAAAAGACCUGCUGAUAUUCUCAACAUUUACAGACAUUCUUACCAUAAUUCAGUUCUCUUCUAGCAAUUGACAGUGGAAUAAAAGACAACAUUUCCACCACGGCUGAUUGUUGAGGGUCUUCAUGCAAUCAUAGUGACAGAUAGGGAUGGGUGUCCCAGUUAUUAAAGAUUGUGCAGUUUAACCGGUUACCGUUGGUGAUCAGUUUCAUCGCAAGCAGUAGUGCCAACACAGGUUUGAUUAUCCGUCUGGAGAAGGAGCUUGUACCACUAAUCGAAGAGCUAUGGCAGGUAGUGGAGGUUGCUUACGAGUGUAUCACCUUGACAGCAAUGGGACUAUUCUGUGACGGAGUCAGUCAUGAAAAAGGAUCUACAUGAAACUAUUACAUAUUUUUAAUAUCUCUAUCAUGCACACGCACCCACACAUACAGAGAGCUCUGUUGCUGAAAGAUACAGUACAUGUUAGUGUCAUGAUGCUGUGUUUGUUGCCUUAAUUUUCUAGUACUUGAAUGUAACCCCUUCCUUUCUCAUGUUUGUAAUUAAUAAACUGACUCAUCUGUUGCUCAUUUCUCUAUUAAAAUAAA